rnacentral:rRNA from 1 species
UACGUAGGUGGCGAGCGUUGUCCGGAUUUACUGGGCGUAAAGGGAGCGUAGGCGGACUUUUAAGUGAGAUGUGAAAUACCCGGGCUCAACUUGGGUGCUGCAUUUCAAACUGGAAGUCUAGAGUGCAGGAGAGGAGAAUGGAAUUCCUAGUGUAGCGGUGAAAUGCGUAGAUAUCAGGAGGAACACCGGUGGCGAAGGCGGGUCUCUGGACAGAUACUGACGCUGAGGCUCUAAAGUUAGGGGAGCAAACAGGAUUAGAUACCCUGGUA